GCAAGUGAGAAACAUUUGGCUGUCACAUCUGUCACCCAUCACCUGCCAGGCAGAUUCAGCUGAUGUGAUUAAGUGGUGUCUCCUUUUUUUUUUCCCUCACCACUCCAGGUGCCUCAGUUCCCAAGCUGAGCGAUCAGUUGAUAAGGACUUUUGCUCUUGGAGGAGAAUGGUCACAGAUGAGGGCAAAUGGCCAGCUGAACUCUCUUGUUACAAUCCCCCCGCCUCCCAGCAUGCUCUUCUGAGAUGUUC
rnacentral:sRNA from 1 species